GACAGAGGGUGCAAACGUUGUUCGGAAUUACUGGGCGUAAAGCGCGUGUAGGCGGCCCUGCAAGUCGGAUGUGAAAUCCCACGGCUCAACCGUGGAAGUGCAUUCGAAACUGCAGGGCUAGAGUCCUGGAGAGGAAGGUGGAAUGCUUGGUGUGAGAGGUGAAAUUCGUAGAUAUCGAAGCGGAACACCGGUGGCGAACGGCGGC
rnacentral:rRNA from 1 species